rnacentral:rRNA from 1 species
AGAGUUUGAUCCUGGCUCAGGAUGAACGCUAGCUACAGGCUUUAACACAUGCAAGUCGUGGGGCAGCAUGGUCUUAGCUUGCUAAGACUGAUGGCGACCGGCGCACGGGUGAGUAACGCGUAUCCAACCUGGCCCUCAGUAGGGAACAGCCCGGCGAAAAGUCGGAUUAAUGCCCUAUGUUUCCUUUGAUAGCAUUUGAUUGGGACAAAGGCCUUGGCCGCUAAGGGAUGGGGAUGCGUCCGAUUAGGCAGCAGGCGGGGUAACGGCCCACCUGGCCGACGAUCGGUAGGGGUUCUGAGAGGAAGGUCCCCCACACUGGUACUGAGACACGGACCAGACUCCUACGGGAGGCAGCAGUGAGGAAUAUUGGUCAAUGGGCGGAAGCCUGAACCAGCCAAGUAGCGUGAGGGAUGACUGCCCUACGGGUUGUAAACCUCUUUUGCCGGGGAAUAAACGGCGGCACGCGUGCCGCUUUGCAUGUACCCGGAGAAUAAGGACCGGCUAAUUCCGUGCC